rnacentral:rRNA from 1 species
UACGAAGGGUGCUAGCGUUGUUCGGAAUCACUGGGCGUAAAGCGCGCGUAGGCGGCCAUUCAAGUCAGAGGUGAAAGCCCUGGGCUCAACCCAGGAAUUGCCUUUGAAACUGUAUGGCUGGAGUGUCGGAGGGGAUAGCGGAAUUGCUAAUGUAGAGGUGAAAUUCGUAGAUAUUAGCAGGAACACCGGUGGCGAAGGCGGCUAUCUGGACGACAACUGACGCUGAGGCGCGAAAGCGUGGGGAUCAAACAGG